AAGCAAAAAAGAAAAGUUAGUAGUAUAAUGAGUUGAUGCGUAGAAUCGUCAUACACAGAAGUUAUUGGACUUAAGUUAACAAAAGUAAGACAUGCGUGGUUAAAAACGUAUUUUGGGAACCUCAUAAUUUAGGGUUUCCAUCCUACCGCCGCUUCUAGUCUAUAUAUAUAUAAAUAUAAGUGAGUAGCAAGAAAACCAGUAAGAUGAAGCUUUGAGAAAUGAGUAUGUAGGAAAGGGAAAGGGGAUGAAUUUUUCAGGAAGCUUUUGGAGUGGGUGGCAUGGUAAGAUAUCAUAUUUUAUUUUUCAUAAAGAAAAUGAAAUUAAAAUCUUACCGAUUCCCCCCAUUCCAAUGGCUUCCAGUUAUUUCUCCCUUUCCUUUUUCUCCAGUUGCAUCUUGGUACCUGCUACUGAGAUAUUGCAGCCUCGGAGUUAAUUUAGGAAAAAAAAUUAUUCACACCGGAUGUUUACAUCAAGCCAAUGCAAUCUGCUGAUUUAAUGGAGUAAAUUGAACAAUAAAUUUAAACACAUGACAUACAUAGAUUGAUUUGGUGUAAACACUCGGUGGAGAUAAGUUUUACCCGUUAAUUAUGCUCUCUUGUGAUGUAAUUUGCAUUUCACCUAGCUAAUGAUUUACUCAUCCACUUCGAAAAAGAAUCAUAUUUCGCCGAUUGAAUUUUCAGUUUUCUGGAUCAUCACUCUUUGAAUGUUACCCUGAUAGGACGAGCUUAUUGCAAAGGUUAUAGAGCAGCUGAGAAGUACACAAUUAAGAAUGUCUAAGCUCUAUACCAAGCUUCGUGUGCAAAUAACGGAAGUUACUGCACAGAAAUGUAUUGAUUCAUAUUUGAAAUAGUCAUCUCAUAGAGUAUAUUUAUUAUUUUAUCAUUAUCAAUUUCGUUAGCUAGUUAUAAAUGGGAAAAUUGAAUUAAAUCA